rnacentral:rRNA from 1 species
CGCUCUUCGCAAAGUAUUUCUAAUGUAUGAGGAGUCCUGCCUGCCCAGUGACUUUUAGUUAAACGGCCGCGGUAUCUUGACCGUGCAAAGGUAGCAUAAUCAUUUGCCUCUUAAAUAGGGGCUGGUAUGAAUGGCAAGACGGGGGUUUAGCUGUCUCUCUUCUAAUGAGGUUGAAUUUAAUAUCUUU